rfam:Branchiostoma floridae genomic scaffold BRAFLscaffold_112, whole genome shotgun sequence.
GUAUCGGUAGGGUAAUCCUUACCUGUUGUCUCUCCGGAGACUUCAGUAAUGGAUUACGUAUGAUGAAUCGAGACAUAUGACUCCAGGUGAGUUAGAGCGUCUUGGGGCUUGGGGACUGCAACACCCUCAUGCUCAAUUCUGAC